GUUGUAAAGAUCUUUCAGAAUGAUGACAGUGAGAACUCGGAUUUUCCUAAACCUUGGAAUCAAGCUGAUUAUGAGGGAUUGUUGUUUGCUCUUGCAUGGAAGGUCUGUUUUUCACAUUUCCUUUCAAAGAAAUAUAUUGUUGGUUUGAGUUCUCUAACCAUCUUCCACUAUUCUAUAGGGUGUGGGAAAUAGGGAAGCUGUAUGGCAGCGUAGAUACUUUUAUCUGGUCAGGCCAUUUCUUUAUAUACUAGAAAGCCCUGCUUCCUAAAUUUACAAACAGUGUCUUAGGUUCUUAGAUAGUACUCUUUUGUUUUGUUCAUAUCUAGCAUUUUGUAUCUGACUGUCCUUUCAAAAUUCCAGAUUUUAAGCUGUAAAUGAGUGCACCAGAAAAUAGUUAUAAAAACUGUUAAAUCUAUCACGUCUCUCUUCUCCAACCUACGAGGAAAACAAGUAUAUCAGGUUCCUCCGGAGCAUGCUGGCAAUGUGGAAAAUGUGUUAGCAGUUUGUGAUGUUGGGCAAUCAAACAUCAAGGUCUGGUUCACGUGGUUGUUAUUUUAAUAUAGUAAUUUAAUCUUUAUUUAGAAAAUUGAAAACUGUUGCCUGGAUGGCAUGGUUCUUCUUUCAAUUUGCUUUAUACUUCAUGUGUAGGUCAUUGAACUUGUUAAUGCAUUGAUUUUGCGAUGUGAUAAUGAUAAUUCGUGGCGAACUUGGUAGAACUGCCUUCAAGGGGCUAUCUAUCGUGCAUCGGAAUCAUAUGAAGAGUUUAAGCACGUGCUUCUUGCAUUUAUAUUUGACAAAGGAUUAGACAUCUCCUGUGGUAAACGAGUAUUAAUUUGCUAGAGAACAGAGGAGGAGGGCAUUUUGAGGAAAAGCAGGUCCUAUUAAUUUUCAGGGAUGUAUGCAAUGCGGUAUUUGCAAUGCAUUCCGAUUCACCAUUGAUUGCUCAUAGGUAAGGCCCUUUGAUCCUUGAGCAUUACUCUUUAACCUCUCUUUUUGUUGAUCUUCUUUCUAUUAAUUUGUGUUGAUUUAUGAUUUGAGAAGAACCUUGUUUGGUUCUGGUUAUGGUGGUUAUC